rnacentral:rRNA from 1 species
UACGUAGAUGGCGAGCGUUGUCCGGAUUUACUGGGCGUAAAGGGAGCGUAGGCGGACUUUUAAGUGAGAUGUGAAAUACUCGGGCUCAACUUGAGUGCUGCAUUUCAAACUGGAAGUCUAGAGUGCAGGAGAGGAGAAUGGAAUUCCUAGUGUAGCGGUGAAAUGCGUAGAGAUUAGGAAGAACACCAGUGGCGAAGGCGAUUCUCUGGACUGUAACUGACGCUGAGGCUCGAAAGCGUGGGGAGCAAACAGG